UCACUGUGUGUUAUAUGUGUCGACACGGGACUGCCGGUUUAAGCCGGAGGAAGGUGGGAUGACGUCAAGUCAGCAUGGCCUUUAUAUCCUGGGCUACACACACGCUACAGUGGUCGGUACAAUAGGUUGCCAAGCCGCGAGGCGGAGCCAAUCCAAAAAGCCGGCCUCAGUUCAGAUUGUAGGCUGCAACUCGCCUGCAUGAAGAUGGAGUUGCUAGUAACCGCAGGUCAGCAAUACUGCGGUGAAUACGUUCCCGGGGCCUU
rnacentral:rRNA from 1 species